rnacentral:rRNA from 1 species
UACGUAGGGGGCAAGCGUUGUCCGGAAUCAUUGGGCGUAAAGAGCGUGUAGGCGGCCAGGUAGGUCCGCUGUGAAAACCCGAGGCUCAACCUCGGGACGUCGGCGGAAACCAUCUGGCUAGAGUUCGGGAGAGGAGAGUGGAAUUCCUGGUGUAGCGGUGAAAUGCGCAGAUAUCAGGAGGAACACCAAUGGCGAAGGCAGCACUCUGGGACGUGACUGACGCUGAGACGCGAAAGCGUGGGGAGCAAACAGG